AUCCUGGCUCAGGAUGAAUGUUAGCUACAGGCUUAACACAUGCAAGUCGAGGGGAAACGACAUCGAAAGCUUGCUUUUGAUGGGCGUCGACCGGCGCACGGGUGAGUAACGCGUAUCCAACCUGCCCACCACUUGGGGAUAACCUUGCGAAAGUAAGACUAAUACCCAAUGACGUCUCUAGAAGACAUCUGAAAGAGAUUAAAGAUUUAUCGGUGAUGGAUGGGGAUGCGUCUGAUUAGCUUGUUGGCGGGGUAACGGCCCACCAAGGCGACGAUCAGUAGGGGUUCUGAGAGGAAGGUCCCCCACAUUGGAACUGAGACACGGUCCAAACUCCUACGGGAGGCAGCAGUGAGGAAUAUUGGUCAAUGGACGAGAGUCUGAACCAGCCAAGUAGCGUGCAGGAUGACGGCCCUAUGGGUUGUAAACUGCUUUUAUAAGGGAAUAAAGUGAGUCUCGUGAGACUUUUUGCAUGUACCUUAUGAAUAAGGACCGGCUAAUUCCGUGCCAGCAGCCGCGGUAAUACGGAAGGUCCGGGCGUUAUCCGGAUUUAUUGGGUUUAAAGGGAGCGUAGGCCGGAGAUUAAGCGUGUUGUGAAAUGUAGACGCUCAACGUCUGCACUGCAGCGCGAACUGGUUUCCUUGAGUACGCACAAAGUGGGCGGAAUUCGUGGUGUAGCGGUGAAAUGCUUAGAUAUCACGAAGAACUCCGAUUGCGAAGGCAGCUCACUGGAGCGCAACUGACGCUGAAGCUCGAAAGUGCGGGUAUCGAACAGGAUUAGAUACCCUGGUAGUCCGCACGGUAAACGAUGGAUGCCCGCUGUUGGUCUGAAUAGGUCAGCGGCCAAGCGAAAGCAUUAAGCAUCCCACCUGGGGAGUACGCCGGCAA
rnacentral:rRNA from 1 species